AUUGAACGCUGGCGGCAUGCUUUACACAUGCAAGUCGAACGGCAGCGCGGGCUUCGGCCUGGCGGCGAGUGGCGAACGGGUGAGUAAUGCAUCGGAACGUGCCCAGUAGUGGGGGAUAGCCCGGCGAAAGCCGGAUUAAUACCGCAUACGACCUGAGGGUGAAAGCGGGGGACCGAAAGGCCUCGCGCUAUUGGAGCGGCCGAUGUCGGAUUAGCUAGUUGGUGGGGUAAAGGCUUACCAAGGCGACGAUCCGUAGCUGGUCUGAGAGGACGACCAGCCACACUGGGACUGAGACACGGCCCAGACUCCUACGGGAGGCAGCAGUGGGGAAUUUUGGACAAUGGGGGCAACCCUGAUCCAGCCAUGCCGCGUGCGGGAAGAAGGCCUUCGGGUUGUAACCGCUUUUGUUCGGGAAGAAAUCCUCUGGGCUAAUACCCCGGGGGGAUGACGGUACCGGAAGAAUAAGCACCGGCUAACUACGUG
rnacentral:rRNA from 1 species